CUGGGCCGCCAAUGUCUCCCUUCCCUUUAACUAACUAUUGGUUUGUUCUCAACUGUCAAAACCCAACGGCCUACCAUCUCACACACUGACUGACACUACAGCAAUGGAGCCAUCGCCACCACCACCCAAAUCCAAGAGCACCGCCACUCCGACACCGCCGCCACUCCUCCGCCGCUUAGUAACUCUCGACACGACGCUCUCCCAACGUCUCCAUGUCCUCGCCAAACCUUUCCUUCCCCACUUCAUCCUCCUCCUCCUCGAAAUUUCCGCCGACUUCCGCUUCUUCUUUCCCCUCUCCCUCUCCCUCCUCUUCGCCCCAACCCUAACCCUAACCCCAUCCCCAAUCCAAAUCCCGGGCCUAGGCGCAAGCCUAAGCCCAAUUCAAAUUAUCCGCCCUCUCCUCUCCCCGCUCAUCCUCGGCCUCCUCCUCGACCUCGCCCUCAUCGGCCUAAUCAAGCUCCUCUUCCGCCGCGCCCGCCCUCUCUACAACAAGAACAUGAACGUCGCCGUUUCGGUCGACCACUUCUCCUUCCCCAGCGGACACGCCUCCAGGGUCUGCUUCGUCGCCGCCCUUCUCCACCUCUCGGCCGAAGCCCUCGCCGAUGCCCUCGCGCACCUCCGGCCAACGUCUCCGUUCAUUGACCGCUGGAUCGGCGCGGACCCGGUCAGUGCCAUUAGUGUUUUGGUCUUGGUUGCUUGGACCUGGGCCUACGCCACCUCCUUCUCUAGGAUUUUGCUGGGCAGGCAUUUCGUCACCGACGUUUGCGCUGGGGCGUGUUUGGGCAUGUUUGAGGGUCUCGUUGCGUUUCGCUUCCUCAGGUUUUAAGGACUUUCCCUGACUGGAGCUGCCUGAAUAUCGAUGAUCUCCUGUGGAAAUCUGCUGCUGUCAGAAAUCUGUUUUAUUUGACCGCAGUUCUGGCUCGAAGGCAAUGCGGUGAAAAUAAUUUCUCAAGGUUUGGGAUACUCCUUUUCCUUUGAGAUGACCCCCGUUGGAUAUGGAACUGGUUUAGCCGUCGAUGAUUAUUUUAUUUUCUGUGCUGCACGGCUGGAUUGAUCGUCCAUUAACGUCAUUUUGAUUGUGGAAAGUAGAUGAAGGAACAGGUUCUUCUUGAUGCCUUGUGAGAUUGAAAGCAUGUGCCUGGAUUGGCUACAAAUGGAUAGAAGAUGUGGAACAAGUUGAAAGAUAUGUUUUACUUUUACCUUCUACCUAGUCAACAUUAUUAGGCUUUCAAACUUUCACCCAUCACUUGUAUGAUUGAUAGAACUUGAAAAAUAUCAACCGGGUUAUCUAUUUAAUCACCAUGCCCACAAGAAAAUCAAGUGGGUAAAAAAGGUCAUUGUCAAUUUCCAUGGUAAGAAGAUAAUUUGUUUGGAGCCAACUUGUAUUUUGUGACAUUGUAGACUUAAAUUUUUGGUGAUUUCAGAAAUUCUAUCGAUAACCAAAUUUCCAGUUGGAUAA